GCCGCAGGGGCGGGGCCGGAAGGGGUCGCGGCCAUCUUAGGGGCCUGACUGGUGUCUGGGCAGGCGGUCUGGAGCCGUCCCGGCACCCGGGGCGGGGCGGACGCCCUCAGCCCGUCUUGGUGCAGCUCUCGACCGUCAGGGGACCACAUUGCUCCCCAAGUGCAAAUUCAAGUGCCAAACCAAGCUUUCGAUCCUCAGGAGAUACUCUUGGUGUCAAUUUUCUUAAUAGUUCCUGAAGACAAGAGAGCUCAUCCUGGAGGCCAGAGACUGUAAGAGCUGAGGAGCCAGUCUGGGGAGGGGAAAGCAGGGUACAAAGGGAGUAUUUCUCAGGAAGGUGAGGGUGUCGGGAACCCAGAUGCUGUCGUGCAGAGCGAGAAGGAAAAACUCAGAGAAUUCAAAUUCAGCUGGAAACUUCUGGAGGAGCUGCCAGACACAGUCCAGGAAAAGAGGAAACACUGCGGCCUGGGAAGAGAAAAAGGGAUCGAGAGUCUGCAAGGGUCUAAAGCACGGGGUGACAAAAUCCGAGAACCGAGGCCCGAGGGGGCAGGGCACCAAGGGGUCAGGGGUUAAAAUAGGAAUUGAGUAGUAGGGCCGUGAGCCUGACGCAUCUGAGUGUUCACUGGGGCUGACUUAGCCCAUUGAGACCGGGUUCUCUUCAGUGGGUUAGGGUAUAUCAUUCUCUCACCCUCAAUUCUUUAGUAAUGCCCCCCAAACAAAACCUAGUGUCCUCACCUCCUCACUGGCCCCGGUGUCCCCAAGCCUCGUCAGGAAGGGGUGUCCCGCCGCUACCCACUCUCGUUGCACUAAUGACUGGAAACCAAACAGUGUCCGGGCUUCGGGGGCCGAAAGCAGCUGGACGAGUGAAGAGAGGAGGCCAUUGAGAUCACGGUCACCACGCUCUGGGCGAUGAGGAAGGAACCAAAAAGGGGGUCCAGGAAACUAGGGCAGGAGGGAAUGGGAAGAGGAGCCGUGGGGAGAGGACGGAGGGCAGGGGAAGGAGGGGAAGCGGGAUUGAAAGGGCAGGGAGAAGUACAGAGAAAACAAAGCUCAAUGGUUCGUUUCACAGACUUCACCUUCUUGAAACACCCAGUGCCACAGAGGAACCACCAUCCCAGGUGCCCUUCCCACCCUGACCUUGUCCCCAUCCACUGAUAAAGGGGUGGGAGGGACUAAGAGCAUCGUAGAGUUGGGGACAACUGUUACAGUAGGGAGACUGUCGCUCUGAAGGAUGCCUUGGCCCAAGUGCUUCCUACUGACAGGAAGAUGCUGGUAUUUAAGGGCACAGGGAAGUUGUGCGAACCUCCCCCUUCCACACUACCCAGUCACAUGAAGGAAAAGGUAAGGGACACAAAGAGCUGACCCAAGGGCCUCACCUUGAAGAACUACAGAACGGACUCGGGAUGUCACUAGUACUGAGAUGUCGCUGGCCUUUCGAAGACAAGACCUGGAGGGGCAUGGGAGGGAGGGAGAGAGGGGUGAGUUAGAAGCGAGGCAGAUUCCCAAACACCUGCUCCUUCUUCUAAGAAAGAGCAGUACAGUCUGAGGGAUGAAUUUAUGGGAGGCUGGAAAGCCCACGUCAAGAGAAGCCAGAAGAAGUUGGAUUGUUGUUGUUUUUUGUUUCUUUGGAGACAGAGUCUCACUAAUAGCCCUGGCUAUCCUGGAACUCCCUAUGUAGGCCAGGCUGGAUUAGAACUCACAGACACCCACCUGCCUCUGCCCCUACCUUGUGUGCUGGGAUUAAAGAUGUGCACCACUA